GACGAACGCUGGCGGCGUGCUUAACACAUGCAAGUCGAACGAAGUGGCGAACGGGUGAGUAACGCGUAAUCAACCUGCCCUUCAGAGGGGGAUACCAGUUGGAAACGACUGCUAAUACCGCAUACUGAAGGAGGGGAUUGCGUCUGAUUAGCUAGUUGGAGGGGGAACGGCCCACCAAGGAGAUGAUCAGUAGCCGGUCGGAGAGGAGGAACGGCCACAAUGGGACUGAGACACGGCCCAGACUCCUACGGGAGGCAGCCGGGGGGAAUCUUCCGCAAUGGACGAAAGUCUGACGGAGCAACGCCGCGUGAGUGAUGACGGCCUUCGGGUUGGAAAGCUCUGUUAAUCGGGACGCGGUACCGGAAUAGAAAGCCACGGCUAACUACGUGCCAGCAGCCGCGGUAAUUC
rnacentral:rRNA from 1 species